rnacentral:lncRNA from 1 species
CAAAUCAGACCAUGUGGGGUCUGUCUGGGAGGGCAAAGGCAAACUGAGGCAGCUGUGACUGCGGGCUGAGGCUGGGCUGUGCAUGCAGCCCGGGGCCGGGCCAGCACCAGCAAGCACCCAGCAGCACGAGAGCCACUGUUUCAGCUGUCUAUGUCCCUGUAGCGCCAGUCCUGGGUUCUUCCCAGCAACUGCGACUGUGGGGGAGCCAGGUUCAAACGUGGGUGAUCUGGCCACAAGGACAGGUGCGCUGAUGGAGGAGGGAGGAGCAGACGCUUCAAGGCCACACACCACAGCUCGUGCACCACUGGCCCUGGAUUUUCUCAGGAAGACCCGAUUUCAGAUAUCUUUCUGGUGUCAGCCCAGCUGUGGAGUUCUGCAACAUCUUUCAAAUCGAUUUAAAGGACGGCCGUGGUUCCCUGCCUGUGUCUCUGUAUGGACACCAGAUAAAACUCUGCUUUUGGUAACAAGGGAACAUCAACCAAUGCUUAUUCUAGUUUUUAAUCUUUAG